CUUUUCAUACAAUUCGGAGCACGGAGAACACCUCGUUUUAUCUAAUAAUACGAUUUUAUCUUCUCUGUAAUGUGUUAUUUAAAUCUUUUGUAUUUUCUUCCAAGUCGGAGAAAAUUCUGAGAAUCCAAAUUAAAUUUUGAUAUCUUUAUAACGCAAUUGACUUAGAUUUUGUAAUUUACGGAAAAUUUCUAUCUUUAUCAUGUUUAUAUAAAGUAAUGAUACAAAUAAUAAGUUCUUAUAAUUUUAGUCUAAUAAUUUUCAUUGUACAUACGCCAUAUAUGGCUUUAAAUGAUUCAAGAUGAAAACAAAAUGAUUUUUGCUUCGUUUUAAUUAGACGAACUAGUGAAUGACCAGAAAAGGAAUAUUUAAAAUCUUUUUUUUUUCAUUUUUUUUAAUCAUUAAUUUAUAUAUGAUUAAAUUUUACUAGCGAAAAUUAAAUUAAACUUUAAUUUUAAAAAGAAUCAUCUGUAGUUAAUACCCUGACUUUUUUCACGAUGAACUUUUUUUCAAUGUUACUUUUUAAUUUUUGCCUCUAUAUUUGGGCUUGUCACUUUUUACUCGGGGAUAGUAACUUUAUUGCCACAAAGCUGUGGAUUAGUACUUGAUUUCCUUUAUUGCACAGCGAUGACUAUGAUUUAAUAGCACAAAAAGCUAAUGGGUUUACGUUUGUGAAUUUAUAUGAUUAAUGCUUACUUGUGAUUUUAGGAUAACUGGAGAUAAUGAUUCCUUUUUUCCAUUGAUAUUACAUAAAUAUUUUCCUAAGUAUUAUGUUACAAUAAAUUGGUUUAGAUUUUUUUUUAUAAAAGUAAUCAAUAAUUACAAUGGAAAUUAAAACCAUAAUCAUGUUCAUUGAGGAUUUUCAAUAUGUAACAGGUCAAACAGGAACUUCAAUUGUGAACAUUGCAGAGAACACACUCAUCAGAAGAUGACCCUCAGAAAUAGGACAAUUAAUGAAUAAAAUGGACAGAGGCAGAACUGAAGGAGAUGCAUGAAAUGAGGAAUAUUUCAAAGAUUGCCUGAGCAUAACCACUGCUACUGGAUAAACAUAUGGCAAUAUAAAAGAGCAGGGUCAAUGGAGGUAUCAUACAGUAUAGGCCAUGAGAGACCCUGAAGAAGAAAGUAUUGAACAGAAACAAAAAUAAAACCAUUUUGACAUUUAUUGAAAUAUAGGAUCAAAGUCUUACAUGUAAAAUUUGGGCAUGUAAUGACUUUUCUCUAGCUCUAAGACUUAUAACAGUGAUGAUUUGAUUUAAUAUCUUUAUCCCGAUUUGUCGAAAAGAUUUGGACAUAGUGCAUCAAUUAUUUUAAAGUUUUGAUACAACGAAUUCAUUCAUUGUACUUGUAACUGAGUUUUCUAAUGCGACACUGUUUUAUCGGCUUCAAAACUAAGUUUGUGAUUUCCAAACCAGAUUAAUGAGAUCAUGUAAUAUCUUUUAACAUCGGUGACUAUUUAAUCCAUUCUUUUACAUCUCAGAAGUAUUUUUAUUAUUACAGGGAAAAUAUGCAUUGUACAUGUAUCUGUAAUAAACAGGAUUAUAGAAAUUUUCCAUAUAAUACAACACAAUCUUAGCAACUGAAGGCAAAUAUUUUAUCAAGGGUGUGAUCUAUUUAUCAAUAUGGUUUUCAGCAUCUUGCUCUACCUGUAAUGACUUGCUCCAAGUUCCAAUAUUUAAAUUUAAAUUUUGCAAACAUGGUUAUAAAAUUCUUUAAAAGCCAAAUAGUUUAGGCACAAAAUGCUUAUAUAUUUCCUAUCAUUUGUAAAGUGUACACUGAAUGAGAUGUGGAAUGUUAGAAUUAAAGUAUUAAAUAUG